rnacentral:rRNA from 1 species
UACGUAGGUGGCAAGCGUUGUCCGGAAUUAUUGGGCGUAAAGCGUGCGCAGGCGGUUUUGUAAGCCAGAUGUGGAAUCCCCGGGCUUAACCUGGGAAUGGCAUUUGGGACUGCAAGGCUUGAGUGCGGCAGAGGAGACUGGAAUUCCUGGUGUAGCAGUGAAAUGCGUAGAUAUCAGGAGGAACACCGGUGGCGAAGGCGGCGAUCUGGGUCGAUACUGACGCUGAGGUGCGAAAGCGUGGGGAGCAAACAGG